UACAGAGGGUGCGAGCGUUAAUCGGAAUUACUGGGCGUAAAGCGCACGUAGGUGGCGACGUAAGUCGGGUGUAAAAGCCCCGGGCUCAACCUGGGAAUUGCAUUCGAGACUGUGUCGCUGGAGUACGGAAGAGGAAGGCGGAAUUCCCGGUGUAGCGGUGAAAUGCGUAGAUAUCGGGAGGAACAUCAGUGGCGAAGGCGGCCUUCUGGUCCAGUACUGACACUCAAGUGCGAAAGCGUGGGGAGCAAACAGG
rnacentral:rRNA from 1 species